rnacentral:rRNA from 1 species
UGGGGAAUAUUGCACAAUGGGGGAAACCCUGAUGCAGCGACGCCGCGUGAGUGAAGAAGUCAUUCGUGAUGUAAAGCUCUAUCAGCAGGGAAGAAAAUGACGGUACCUGACUAAGAAGCCCCGGCUAACUACGUGCCAGCAGCCGCGGUAAUACGUAGGGGGCAAGCGUUAUCCGGAUUUACUGGGUGUAAAGGGAGCGUAGACGGUACUGCAAGUCUGAAGUGAAAGCCCAGGGCUCAACCGUGGGACUGCUUUGGAAACUGUGAUACUGGAGUGCAGGAGAGGUAAGUGGAAUUCCUAGUGUAGCGGUGAAAUGCGUAGAUAUUAGGAGGAACACCAGUGGCGAAGGCGGCUUACUGGACUGCAACUGACGUUGAGGCUCGAAAGCGUGGGGAGCAAACAGG